GGGGGCGACUGGUUUCGACAUGGUACGUUUGAAAUGAGGAGCAGGUCGUGGUCUCCUCGCCACGUUAAACAGGGGUACCGUCAAUUUAAUUGGCAAGAACAACACUCAGAGCGCUCCGGCGCUCGCCAUGGCUGCUUAAUAGCGCCUGGCUGUCGGCCUUGGGACUUCCCCGCCCCUCGGUCCGGCAUCAACCUAGGGGAAUGCGCUUGAGCACGUAGCCGGUAUGGCUCAGGCAAAGAUCGAACCGGCUAGGGUGCG
rnacentral:tmRNA from 1 species